rnacentral:rRNA from 1 species
UACGAAGGGGGCGAGCGUUGUUCGGAAUUACUGGGCGUAAAGGGCGCGCAGGCGGCCUUAGAAGUCAGAUGUGAAAGCCCCGGGCUCAACCUGGGAAUGGCAUUUGAUACUCUGAGGCUGGAGUACGGGAGAGGAGAGUGGAAUUCCCAGUGUAGAGGUGAAAUUCGUAGAUAUUGGGAAGAACACCGGUGGCGAAGGCGGCUCUCUGGACCGUAACUGACGCUGAGGCGCGAAAGCUAGGGGAGCAAACAGGG